rnacentral:misc_RNA from 1 species
GAUGAAGAACGCAGCGAAAUGCGAUACUUGGUGUGAAUUGCAGAAUCCCGUGAACCAUCGAGUCUUUGAACGCAAGUUGCGCCUCAAGCCAUUAGGUUGAGGGCACGUCUGCCUGGGCGUCACAUAUCGUUGCCUGAUGCCAGUUUCCUCGUGAUGGGUGACUGUGCAGGGCGAAUGAUGGCUUCCCGUGAGCAUUGUUGCCUCAUGGUUGGUUGAAAAUUGAGUCCUUGGUAGGGAGCGCCGUGAUAGAUGGUGGUUGAGUGACGAACGAGACCCAAUCAUGUGAGACCCCUACCGAAUUUGGCCUUCAUGACCCACAUGCGUCUUUGGAACGCUCAUGACGAGACCUCAGGUCAGGCGGGGCUACCCGCUGAGUUUAAGCAUAUCAAUAAGCGGAGGC